rnacentral:lncRNA from 1 species
AGGAGGAAACCUUCAGUGCUGGGUAGCAGGAAGCCUGCAGAGGGCUUUGCAUGGGAACACCUCAUCCAAGGAGAGGAUCCACAGAAAAACAGGACAGGAUUGCCUCUUUCCUGCAUUUUGAAGAACCUUCCUCCUCAUCCCACCUGAAGAGAGAUAAAUGCCAAAAUCUUAAACUCCAGAAUGUCCCAAGUUGGAAGAGACCUGUAGAAGUGUGGUCAUCUUUGAAGUCUAAUUUAAAUGGUAAGUUGUAAAUAAUGUAGAAGCUCCAUCUCACUGGCUUAAGUGUUCCCUGCAUAUUAACACACCAUCUGCUUAACCUGAGAUCUCUUUUUUGGAGGUGACUACAAAUUACUCCUUAAUAAUUUCACAGGCCCUAUAAACUUGCUGGGUAAUCAAUUUACACAGGCUUGCUGCCCACUUUCACAGUUCUAGUGCUGGUCCCACAGUGUUUCUGUUUUUCUUAAAGUGUUGAUUUCCUGAGUCAUGUAUUUCCCUGAGAAUGCAGGUUUUCAGUUUUUCAAGUGGCAGGAGCUGCAGAUAAAUGUUGAAAGGCUCAUGCUUAAAGAAUCAUAAAUGAGAAUGGUAUUUUGUGAGAAAUAAAAUGCACUUCACAGCUCUCUCUGUCAUGUACUAUAAUUGCAAUCAACAUUUCUGUGUAUCAUAAUAAUGAUGAAGAUGAUGAUGAUGGCCACUGUUUCCCACCUCUUUGCUGCAGGAAAAGAGCUGACUGCAACAGGAUGUGCUGUUUUCUGUCUAUGUGCACUUCGCUUUCUCAACAGAAAAGACAAAAAAAAAAAGGGAAAACAAAAACUGAAGACUGAAAAUGGACGAAAACAAAACAGAUCUUGGUGCUUGUGUUUCUUUGCACUGGGAGAGAAAGAAAUGAGAGUUAAAAUAUCUAGAUUUUAUAAAGAUACAAUGAAAACUCGAUAACAAAUCCAUAACAAAUAUCACUGAUAAUGUACAAAAUGAUAAAAUCUCAUUUUCAUGCUCUUUUUGGGUUGUUUUAUUUGUUCAU